GACUUUAUAACUCAGUUGGUUAGAGUAUCACGUUAACAUAAGAUCGUGACAAGCGGUGAUUACCGUGAAAGUCCCCGGUUCGAGUCCGGGUAAAGUCA